ensembl:lncRNA
CUUUUUUUAUGCCUUGGGAGAAGUCCUGUGCUGCAGACCCUUCGCUGGCUGCGAUGUUGUGCUUGGAACGAGCCCCUGUUUAGGCUGUCGGUGGCGGAACCCCGGGUUCCUGCUCGGAAAGAGCAGCAGCCUGCUAUCAUCAGCCUCAGCGUGACGGCGCCGGCCAGAUGCGAAUGCAGAACCCACCAAGGGCUUCACCUUUACCAUCAUGUGGGCCAUGUGGCCCUGCAGCAAGUCUGUCACUCAGGAGUGAAGGCGAAGGGUGGGAGAGGACCCUGUGUGCCUGGAGGCCUGUUGCUGCGGAGCCAAAAUGUAUGUGAAUGUGUGUGUGCCCCCUCCAUGGCAGGGGCUGAAGAGACAGACUUGUUCACAAAAGUGUGUGUGGCCAAGAAACAGGAGAUGAACAGAACAUGGGGCUGAAACUCUUCCUCUGAUAAAGAGCAGCAGCUGGUUGACAAAGAUGAACCUCAUCUUACUGUGUAUUGUCGAUUAGCUUCUUUAGCCCUUCACCCACAGCCAAAAGCUUUGUGUGGUGCAGAAAGUCCCACAGAUGUUGCCAGAGGAACCUCAAUAGCUUCUCUCUCCACACUUAGUAGGGAUUUACAAACACACUUCAGGGAGUUUAGUCUGAGUCUGAGCAGUUGGCUGUAUCUAAAAGCUCUGCUCACUGCUUUGUAAAUCUAAAAGAUUUCAUAGGUUCCUUCUCUUCAGAUUUUCACAGAAGAGCCUGUAAGUGCUUUGGACCAAAUAGCCGUGCAGUUAAUGAACUGUGCACACACAGGCACUAUGUCCAGCUAUGAAUUCACACUUAAUAGUUCAACAGAAAUAUCUGGUUUCAUAUGUUUCUCAUUCUUUUUAAAAUAGUGAUAGGCUUGUCAAUUAAAUCCAUCUUUAAAAUAGAUUUUACCAAAUAUAUGCAUCGCUCAGUGAGAUUAAUUUAAUGUUCUCUUUUCCACAUGCAUUUCCAAGAGAAUUAAAGGACCUAAUAUUCUAUUGUAAUCUGUGGUUUUUUUUUUUCUUCAACUUCCCAAAAUACCAGACAUUUGAUGGGAUACUGUAAAACCCUCUGGAGAAUUUUUUUUUUUUUAUGGAGAGACCAGAAUGAAAAUUUUCAAUCUGAAAUGCACAAUAAGGCUAGAUUUAAAAAAAACCCCACAAACUGUUGCCUACUUUUGUGUGUUUCAAACCAAGAUACCCAAAAUAUGAUUUUUCAGGGAUGCUGAGCAAACAUAACUCCCAUGGACUCCAGCCAGAAAUUCUCCUGUUUGCCACAGCUGCAAAUCAAGCUCUGCAUUACUAAGGGGACCAGAAAGCAUUCAUUGAGCAGUUUUUACUUCCAAUAUUUUCUUACUGUGGAAACAUGCUUAAGUGAUACUUGAUGUCAUUCAGUCGCAGAUGACACAGCUCAUAAAGCAAAAAAAAAAAAAAAAGGGAAAAAGAAAAAAAGAAAAAGAAGCAAAACUCAGGUGGUGAAAAUUUACCUGAGUGUGUGAGAAAGAGGAGGGGGAGAGGUUUUUGUGUGAAAGCUUCACUCUUUGUAAAGGAGACAGAUGGUUUGCAUCUACUGCCAUGAAUAUUACAAGCUUCAGGUGUCCCAAAACGCUGUGAAAUGCAACAUUAUAAAUUGGUGGCGAAUAUUAAGUCCAAAGUUAUCAAGGAAAACAAUGGCUUUUGCCUCUGCUACAGGUAAUUUAGGGAAACCUUCCCAGAGUUCCUUUUUAUUAAGAAAGAACUCCGCUGAGCAUGAGUAAUACAAAGAGAAGCUGGUUCCAUUCGAAAAUACUAUGCAUCUGAAAAUAUUUUUACUGUUUACUUUCAAUAUUGCUGGAUCAUGCCCCCAUUAGCACCCACUCAAACCUACCCUUUCCAUUCCUUUCCAUAAUUUUAAUCAGAUCCUUCAUUUCCUCCAAACCCACAGUCCUUAAUUACAAUUUACAGACACAGCAAUGGAGCACAAGCUGGUCAAAACAGCUGUGUGAAAGUUUCUACUCCGAAGGAAAUAUUACUGAUGAGGAUAAUUUUGCAGCCAAAUAGAUUUUUCCUUCAUUUGUAUUAACACAGUAUCUUCCGUCUCCUUCCAGGCAAUUUCCACAGGUACAAGUAGGCAGCAUUUCUGCCCAUUUACAUACUGGUUUUUGCUGAGGAUUUCUGCAUUUUUGAUUUUGUGGGCCAAUGUUCCAACAUGCUUGUUCGUUCCUAAGAUUUGGAAGAUAAUAGUGGAACAUUUGAUACCCAAGUAUUACUGAAAGGUCUCUGUGAAUUCACUUAAAUUUACUGGUAUUUACUAUAUUAUUCUCUGAGACACAGGGCCAAACAUUCACAAAAAUAGACAUUCACAAACCUUGAUUUAGGCUUUAAAAAACUUAUGAUAUCCAGUGACUCUCACUUGGGACAAAAAGAAAUAUUGAGUGUCCUACACACUUUUAAGACAACUUAUGGCUCUCUAUUUCACAGUGGUUUUGGUGAAGGUUCUCUGUUCUAUCCCUCAGACUGCUUUUGAAAAGUAUAGCUACUAGCUGACUUGUGGCUAAAUGGGCUCUUGUGACAAUGCAUUCCAGCCAGUCCUGGAAAUCUGUUUGACCUGGGCUCAGCCACCAAACUUGAGAUGUCUUUGACUUGUAUUUGCUGCCUGGUGAAUCUGCCCCAAAAAGACACAAAGAGUGUGUCUGUAACUGUUUUCCCAGCAAACAAUGCAAGGUGUGAUUAUCCUCUCAUGCCAGCUUUACUGUGGUGUAUGUUCAUUCUACUUGCAUAGGACUAUUUGUAAUUUACAUGGCUACAAGAAAAUAUACUGCAAGACCCUAAGGGUCUUGGAUUUGUGAGAUUCAUAAGGCUUCAUGAGAGAAUGCAGAAUAAACUGUAUUGAAUCACAGGAGUGUGAUUGCUG